GUGUGCUUGUGUGUGUGCUGCUUAAGUCUUGAGAGUCUGGACUGUCUAGCAGGGUGCACAGAUCUCCUCCCCUGGGGAUUUAAUGCAACAGACUCACGGCCAGCAGCCGUCAUUGAGAGCCCCUGAUGGUGGUCCGCUUCAUGAGGUGUGGACCAAUGGGAGGGCAGCACUAAGGAUGCAACAGUGUUCCAGGAAAAAAUACCCCAUUGUUUGAGAGACGCUGAAGGAGUGUGACCUCGCACGGACUGGACUGGUUCACCUAACGGCCCGCCAAGAGAGACAGAGAGAGAGAGAGAGAGUCACUAUAAGCGAUGAGUGGAGGUCUCAACGUGAAGUCGGCCUCCCGGG